AUUUGCAUCAGUCCUUCCUUAAGACUGUGUUGAAGACAAGCAUAAAUACUCUAAAGAUCUUCGAAGGUAAGCAGGGUCAGCCCUGGGUGAUACUUGGAUAAGAAACUGCCAGUGAAUGCAGGUGGUGCAAGUU
rnacentral:rRNA from 11 species